rnacentral:tRNA from 1 species
AGGGAUGUAGCUCAGAGGUAGAGCACUUGCCUAGCAUGCAUGAGGUCCUGGGCUCAAUCGCCAGCAUCACUA